GACGAACCGUGCGAACGUUGUUCGGAAUCACUGGGCUUAAAGGGCGCGUAGGCGGUUGAUCAAGUCUGGGGUGAAAUCUUUCGGCUUAACCGGAAAAGUGCCUUGGAUACUGGUCAGCUGGAGGGAGGUAGGGGCAGUUGGAACUUCCAGUGGAGCGGUGAAAUGCGUUGAUAUUGGAAGGAACGCCGGUGGCGAAAGCGAGCUGCUGGACCUCUUCUGACGCUGAUGCGCGAAAGCUAGGGGAGCAAACAGG
rnacentral:rRNA from 1 species